rnacentral:lncRNA from 1 species
CUUAGAACAACAGCACACAUCUGCUUCCACUGUUCUCUUCAGAACAACAGAAAACAUCUGACUUCAGAACAUCUGUAUUGGUCUCCUCUGACUUCCACUGUUCUCUUCAGAACAACAGAAAACAUCUUGACUUCCACUGUUCUCUUCAGAACAACAGCACCAUCUGACAUCCACUGUUCUCUUCAGAAACACAGCACACAUCUGACUUCACUGUUCUCUUCAGAACAACAGAAAACAUCUGACUUCAGAACAUCUGUAUUGGUCUCCUCUGACUUCCACUGUUCUCUUCAGAACAACAGCACACAUCUGACUUCCACUGUUCUCUUCAGAACAUCUGUAUUGGUCUCCUCCAACUUCCACUGUUCUCUUCAGAACAACAGAACACAUCUGACAUCCCCUGUUCUCUUCAGAACAACAGAACACAUCUGUAUUGGUCUCCUCUGACUUCCACCGUUCUUUUCCCCUCUUCUUUUGAAUGGUUGAAGGAUGGAGGAUAGAUAGAAGCUUGUCCAGUUUGGUCCAACUAUUCACCUACACAGGGAUAUUAGAAUCCUGUAAUGACGCUGGGAGCUGGCGUCUGCUGUUACCCUUCUAGACCAGCCUGCAAUGCACCCCUCUAUGGAUACAUUUGGUUUUGGCUGAUUGGUUCCCCUUUGUGUGUCUACCAUUGCCUAUCAUAAGUGCCACUCCUCUCCGCUGUGCAUGUAUAAGCAUCAUGGAAGGUCAGAGUUCACUGCUGAUUUUUGAAGAGCGGACGGGCAUCGAGAGUCCAGGUUGCUACGACUAAAGCAGCUCUCUCUUCUCCUUCGGAACAUUAAAAUUAUUCUACCCCUGCAACCGUCCCAGUAAAGAUUGAGAGAGUCCACUAUCUUUACAGAUCAGCCUAUGAAACGUGUAACACCCACAUCAUACCCACAAGUAAGCUAUAUACAUAUACAUAUAUAGAUAUAUAUAUAUAUAUAUAAAACAUGUUUAUUUUUUUGCUCUGUCACUCUUAUAUAAUAAAUUGACAUAUAUAGUCCAACCAUAAAGAUUACUGAGUGUCGAAAAAAUAUUAUUCUGUACUUUGGCUAAGAUUUAUAAAUCAUGAGACUGAACUACAUCAAAAUAAAUGGUGUGAAGUGUAUGUAUCUUAAAGCUUUGCUUUAAAACAAUUCACUGCAUUACUUUGUUUAUGUUAUGAGUCUUUGUAUAAAGCAUCCUUUGGUAUGGGGGAGAAAGAGCGUCUAGCAAAGUUCUUUGUUGCAGAAUUGUGCCAACAUUUUAAAAAAACAUGUCAAAAUAAACCUGCCUAAAAUGGAAUGGCCAGAGUGAAGCACUUACACUUCAUAUGAAAUAUCAAUGCACCUAUGUGUAGCUGUGUGUUCACCGCAUGUUUGGAGGCCAGAUAUUCUUUCCGUGACUACUUCCUCUAUCUAACAUCGCAGGUUUAGUGAAGCACCACCGAAUUAAAAUCUUAAGCAAUUAGUCAUGUUGUUAUGUAGGGCCUACUGCCCUCAUGUGGUGAACCAACGUUUGACCACCCAUUGUGUUUUUACUCCGGCGUUUUAACUGUGAUUUCAAUAAUGACCUUCAAUGGACCAGCGAAACUCAAAUGGCU